UACAUACAUAAACUAGUUAAUUAGGCUAUGCAAAAUUUAGCAUGAACUUUAGGGAACUAAAAGGACAUUAGUUUAGCAGCUCAUCAAAUUCUUUAUUAUUUCUCCAACGAGCUUUGUUCAGCGCAAUGAGAUUAUAAAAUUGAAAUGCUUCGUCUUUUUCCCAACAAUGUGAAUAUAAAUGCUGUGGCUUGACGAGGAUACAAGGCAGGCACGCAUGAGUUGAAUAACCCAUGAAUAGUGAUUUUGCAGAAAACUGCAGAGUUUAUUGUGUUCAGAGAUGCUGGAUCUUGUUGGAAUGUAGUUUGUUCUUUGCCUAGCUAUAUAACAA
rnacentral:misc_RNA from 1 species